rnacentral:rRNA from 1 species
UACGUAGGGGGCAAGCGUUGUCCGGAUUUAUUGGGCGUAAAGAGCGUGUAGGCGGCCUGGUAGGUCAGCUGUGAAAACUCGAGGCUUAACCUCGAGCUGUCGGCGGAAACCAUCUGGCUAGAGUCCGGAAGAGGAGAAUGGAAUUCCCGGUGUAGCGGUGAAAUGCGCAGAUAUCGGGAAGAACACCCGUGGCGAAGGCGGUUCUCUGGGACGGUACUGACGCUGAGACGCGAAAGCGUGGGGAGCGAACAGG